GAUGAACGCUGGCGGCGUGCCUAAUACAUGCAAGUCGAGCGAACAGACGAGGAGCUUGCUCCUCUGACGUUAGCGGCGGACGGGUGAGUAACACGUGGAUAACCUACCUAUAAGACUGGGAUAACUUCGGGAAACCGGAGCUAAUACCGGAUAAUAUAUUGAACCGCAUGGUUCAAUAGUGAAAGACGGUUUUGCUGUCACUUAUAGAUGGAUCCGCGCCGCAUUAGCUAGUUGGUAAGGUAACGGCUUACCAAGGCGACGAUGCGUAGCCGACCUGAGAGGGUGAGGGGCCACACUGGGACUGAGACACGGUCCAGACUCCGCCGGGAGGCAGCAGUAGGGAGUGUUGCACAAGGGGCGAAAGCCUGACGGACCAAGCCGGCGUGAGGGAUGAAGGGUUUCGGAUCUUAAAACUCUGUUAUUGGGAAAGAAAAAAUGUGUAAGUACCUAUGCACGUCUUGACGGUACCUAAUCAGAAAGCCACGGCUAACUACGUG
rnacentral:rRNA from 1 species